GGGCGGCAUGCAUGAUUUCCCCCUCCCGUACGUGAUUAUAUAUGGGCAUGCGGAGACAAUGUUUUUUCUUUUUCUAUGUUACUUAAUUUAUUAAGUAAUUCAUAAAAUCUAAAAAAUCAAUGUGUUUAUUUGAAAUAUUACCUCAUGCAAGGUAAAGGGUGUACCUUAGGAUGGCCCAAAUAAAUGAAGCCGCCGAGUCAAUUUGGGGUAAAGGGUGUACCUCAAGAAGGUAAUGAAAGUAUCGUCUGUUUUGAAAAAACAAAGAUUAAGCUCAUAUAUGGGGUAGGUCGCUAUAUUUCAUUUUUGUGCACAACUAUUUAUCUCAUUUGAGUUAAUGAUUUAUUAGCCACUAUCUUUGUAAGCGUCGUACUGAUGUAGUUCAUUGUAAAACCAAAAUUCGUGAUACUCAAAAAUUGAACCAUCAACUGCUAAUAUAGAAUCCGUGUUGGAAUGACAAGUUUAUCACAGUAUAGUUAAGUGACAUCCAGGUGGAAAAUAAUUAAAAACAAAAAAGGAAAAAGCUAAAAAAUCUCGUACGUAUUUAACUGAACUUCAUGUGAUUCUACUUAAGCCAAAAACUACGGAGUAUAUAGUAGAUCUUCACCCAAAAAACCAAAAAACUUUUCAAGAUUCCCCGUCACAUCGAAUUCUGCGGUAAAUGCAUGGAGCAUUAAAUAUAGAUAAAAAUAAAAACUACUUGUAUAGUUUGCCUAUAAAAUCGUGAGAUGAAUCCUUUAAACCUAGUUACUCUAUGAUUGGACAAUAUUUGUCAAAUAAAAACGAAAGUACUACAGUACUCCAACCCAAAAAAAUUUGGUAACUAAACAAGUCCUUAGAGAAGAAACUAUGUCACACAUAUAUAUAUCAGUACAUAGGAUCCGUAAAAUGGUUACUGUAACAUUAUCCAGAGUGGCAAAUCAAUUAAUGGAAACCACAGUAAUUAAAUCAAACUAAACAUUACAAAAAUAUUUGGUAUGAAAUAUUUCAACACAUUUCACAACCUCAUCUUGGUGAUACGGUAGGCGACCCUCUCGCUCAUACCCCUAGUCCAGAGGUCGAACUCAUGGCGUAUGAGGCAGCCUGGGCUGCAGUAUUUGAUGAGCAACGGGCAGUUGUUUUGCUUCGGCCUGUAGCGCCUGCAUUCUUCUCAAAUGCAG
rnacentral:lncRNA from 1 species